rnacentral:tRNA from 1 species
GAGCCCAUAGCUCAGUGGUAGAGCGUUCGCUUCACACGCGAAAGGCCGAUGGUUCGAAUCCAUCUGGGCUCACAA